UACGGAGGGGCUAGCGUUGUUCGGAAUUACUGGGCGUAAAGCGCACGUAGGCGGAUUGGAAAGUCAGAGGUGAAAUCCCAGGCUCAACCUUGGAACUGCCUUUGAAACUCCCAGUCUUGAGUUCGAGAGAGGUGAGUGGAAUUCCGAGUGUAGAGGUGAAAUUCGUAGAUAUUCGGAGGAACACCAGUGGCGAAGGCGGCUCACUGGCUCGAUACUGACGCUGAGGUGCGAAAGCGUGGGGAGCAAACAGG
rnacentral:rRNA from 1 species